AAGUCGUAACAAGGUUUCCGUAGGUGAACCUGCGGAAGGAUCAUUAUUGAAUUUUGAAUAGGUUGUUGCUGACCUUCUGAAAGGAGGGUAUGUGCACGCCUUGUUCUAAAUCACAUACACCUGUGCACUUUAUGUAGGCCAAUCAUGGCCUAUGUCUUUUUAACACACACUUUAUUUUUUAAUAAACAAGAAUGUUAUUGAUAAAUAUAUACAACUUUCAACAACGGAUCUCUUGGCUCUC
rnacentral:misc_RNA from 1 species